UCACCGGGUCAGACUGCCAGAGUGCCGUGCGCUGAGGACGCGGAUCGUGCGGCGAGGCGCCAUGUUUGCCUGAACGGCGUAUUCUUGACAGCAUCACCUCGUUUGCUGACAUGCAGCUUCCACUUCUAUCGGAUUUCUGGAAGCUGACUUAUCACUUCUUAGAUCAGCAAUCGAUACAUGGUGUUCACUGCGACCUGCAAUAGCGUGCACUCGAUCUGCAAGCUGCGUGAGAACUUCAUCUGGCUCCCGAAGGUCACUGGCUGCGCCAACUGCUGCGCUGGAGUAGCCGUCACGGGACGGUAAACUAACUGCAGGGUGCUUCGAGUGAGCCAGAUAUUACGUUGUGUAAUGUGUGUCAAAAUGAGUUUCUGGUACUGAUGUGUCUGGUGGCGGCGACUGCCGGGCUCUCGCAGGUCCGAAUCAAUCGCCGGGAGCGGUGGCAGGGUGUACCCGCUGUUCACAACGCCAACGUGGAAUACGGUACCGAGCACGGCCCGUGCAUCGGAGGGGCCUGUCGCUCCUACGUCGUCAACAGCGGAUUUACGAAUGACCUGCCCUCGCGAGCACUGGGCGCAGGUCUUACUGGUGGCCUGGGAACGGGUCACGGGAUUGGUGUUGUAACAGGUCACGGAAUAGGUCUUGGUGCAGGUCACGGUAUCGGUCUUGGCACGGGUCAUGAUCUGGGUCUUGGAACGAGCCACGGGAUUGGUCUUGUAACGAGCCACGGCAUUGGCUCUGGACCGAGCUACAACUAUGGUCACGGGUUUGGUAUAGGGCAGGGUCACAGGCUUGAUCAUGUGUCGAGCAUUAUUCCAGGAUCAGUUUACGGGACUACCCUCGGAGCAAGUCACAGCCUUGGUCUUGGUGCUGGCCACCAACUAGGACUUGGUGUGGGUCAAGCACAGAGAUACCAGACUGGGCAAGGACUCAGCUUCAGUUCUGGAGCUUACCGUGGAUUCAAAACAGCGGAGGCUUUCAAACUGGGCGCUGCCACAGCCCAUACGUGGUAGUUCAUGCAAUUAGUCAUGGAAAUGGAUUCAGGCAUGAACCAUCGCGACAUUGGUGGAAUGGGCUAUCAUUAAUGCAUAUGUGCGUAGUGUUAUGUGCAACAUUUGAUGUUUCCGAUGCCAUGAUGAAGUCGAACAAUACAUUUGGUGUGCACGA
rnacentral:lncRNA from 1 species